UACGGAGGGAGCUAGCGUUGUUCGGAAUUACUGGGCGUAAAGCGCGCGUAGGCGGCUUUGUAAGUUAGAGGUGAAAGCCCGGGGCUCAACCCCGGAACAGCCUUUAAGACUGCAUCGCUAGAAUCCGGGAGAGGUGAGUGGAAUUCCGAGUGUAGAGGUGAAAUGUGUUGAUAUUGGAAGGAACGCCGGUGGCGAAAGCGACACACUGGACCUUGUCUGACGCUGAGGCACGAAAGCCAGGGGAGCAAACGGG
rnacentral:rRNA from 1 species